rnacentral:misc_RNA from 1 species
CAUUAGACGAUGCCAUCGAAC